CCUACGGGUGGCUGCAGUGGGGAAUAUUGGACAAUGGGCGAAAGCCUGAUCCAGCCAUGCCGCGUGUGUGAAGAAGGCCUUCGGGUUGUAAAGCACUUUCAGUGGGGAAGAAAGCCUUGGGGCUAAUACCCUCGAGGAAGGACAUCACCCACAGAGGAAGCACCGGCUAACUCCGUGCCAGCAGCCGCGGUAAUACGGAGGGUGCGAGCGUUAAUCGGAAUUACUGGGCGUAAAGCGCGCGUAGGCGGUCUGAUAAGCCGGUUGUGAAAGCCCCGGGCUCAACCUGGGAACGGCAUCCGGAACUGUCAGGCUAGAGUGCAGGAGAGGAAGGUAGAAUUCCCGGUGUAGCGGUGAAAUGCGUAGAGAUCGGGAGGAAUACCAGUGGCGAAGGCGGCCUUCUGGACUGACACUGACGCUGAGGUGCGAAAGCGUGGGUAGCAAACAGGAUUAGAUACCCCGGUAGUC
rnacentral:rRNA from 1 species